rnacentral:rRNA from 1 species
CUGGGCGUAAGCGUGCGCAGGCGGAUUGUUAAGCAAGAUGUGAAAUCCCCGGGCUUAACCUGGGAAUGGCAUUUUGAACUGGCAGUCUAGAGUGCGUCAGAGGGGGGUGGAAUUCCACGUGUAGCAGUGAAAUGCGUAGAGAUGUGGAGGAACACCGAUGGCGAAGGCAGCCCCCUGGGAUGACACUGACGCUCAUGUACGAAAGCGUGGGUAGCAAACAGGAUUAGAUACCCUGGUAGUCCACGCCCUAAACGAUGUCAACUGGUUGUUGGGGGAGUGAAAUCCCUUAGUAACGAAGCUAACGCGUGAAGUUGACCGCCUGGGGAGUACGGUCGCAAGAUUAAAACUCAAAGGAAUUGACGGGGACCCGCACAAGCGGUGGAUGAUGUGGAUUAAUUCGAUGCAACGCGAAAAACCUUACCUACCCUUGACAUGUCCGGAAUCCUGCAGAGAUGCGGGAGUGCCCGAAAGGGAAUCGGAACACAGGUGCUGCAUGGCUGUCGUCAGCUCGUGUCGUGAGAUGUUGGGUUAAGUCCCGCAACGAGCGCAACCCUUAUCAUUAGUUGCUACGCAAGGGCACUCUAAUGAGACUGCCGGUGACAAACCGGAGGAAGGUGGGGAUGACGUCAAGUCCUCAUGGCCCUUAUGGGUAGGGCUUCACACGUCAUACAAUGGUCGGUACAGAGGGUUGCCAAGCCGCGAGGUGGAGCCAAUCCCAGAAAGCCGAUCGUAGUCCGGAUUGUUCUCUGCAACUCGAGAGCAUGAAGUCGGAAUCGCUAGUAAUCGCGGAUCAGCAUGUCGCGGUGAAUACGUUCCCGGGUCUUGUACACACCGCCCGUCACACCAUGGGAGUGGAAUCUG